AUGAAUCUCUCAACUCACCCGGUUUUUUGUUAACUGUGGUGGGCUUGGAUUUGGGGGCUUUGCUGGCUGUCAAGUCGGCUCCCCUCUAAAUGUAUUAGCUGAACCCGUUGCGGAACAGUGGCUCGGUGUGAUAAUUGUCUACGCCGUCUCUGGGAAGCGUCUUUGGUUGAUCGGCUUCUAAGCUGUCCUGGACAAUUUUUGACAGUU
rnacentral:misc_RNA from 1 species